CCCGCAGACCGCCUUAUCGUCGCUCGCUUAGGUGAGGGGAGGAAAGUCCGGACACCACAGAGAAGCAUAGCGGGUAACACCCGUCGGCGUUAGUAAUAACGUUAGGACAAGUGCAGCAGAAAGUAUGUACAGGUAAUGCUGUAGUGAAAACAGGUAAACUCUAUGCGGUGAAAUACCAAGUAUAUCAGCAUUUAAGGGCUUCUCGUCCGUUGUUGAAGGGUAGGUAGCUCGAGCUUAUGAGUAAUUGUAAGCCUAGAUAAAUGAUAAGGCUCUGAUUUAUCAGAGACAGAAUCCGGCUUAUAGGUCUGCAUUUUUU
rnacentral:RNase_P_RNA from 2 species